rnacentral:rRNA from 1 species
AGAGCGAACGCUGGCGGCAGGCCUAACACAUGCAAGUCGAGCGCCCGUAGCAAUACGGGAGCGGCAGACGGGAUAGUAACACGUGGGAACGCGCCCUUCGGUUCGGAAUAACUCAGGGAAACUUGAGCUAAUACCGGAUACGCCCUUACGGGGAAAGAUUUAUUGCCGAAGGAACGGCCCGCGUCCGAUUAGCUAGUUGGUGAGGUAAUGGCUCACCAAGGCUACGAUCGGUAGCUGGUCUGAGAGGAUGACCAGCAUCACUGGGACUGAGACACGGCCCAGACUCCUACGGGAGGCAGCAGUGGGGAAUAUUGGACAAUGGGCGCAAGCCUGAUCCAGCCAUGCCGCGUGGAUGAUGAAGGCCUUAGGGUUGUAAAGCUCUUUCGGCGGGAAGAUGAUGACGGUACCCGCAGAAGAAGCCCCGGCUAACUUCGUGCCAGCAGCCGC